UGCUUCUCAACCUCCUCUGUGCCACUGAUGCAGUCAUCCCUCCCUUCAAGGGAGGCUGAGACCACAGCAACAAGACUACAUGAAAACAUGCAUGUGACACUGAACAAACACUGCAGGCUUGUGCAAGCACACGUAUAUCUACCCAAGCAAAAUGAAAAUGCACUCAGAAUAACUUCCCUCCAGCCAUUUGUUUUUGUUUCUGUCCAAUCUGACUUCAUGCCAAAUUCAACCAACACCUUUCAGCUGCAUUUAAUUGCUCUUUUUCAACCUAAAAAAACCACAACUGACUGAAGUACGAAAAUCGCUGAAGGGCAUUUUCUAUCACACUUUGGGCAGCUGCACACAAAAUUGAUGGAAAAUUACCUUUCCAAGGUUUGCUAUCCAGAGUGAAAGAGGGAGGACUGUUUAAGAGAUGUCAGAGUCUACCUCUCUUCUUCCAUAUCUGCUUUAUCAGACUUCUGCAGUCUUCAUCAAAUCCUGCUGUCUGCGCUUGGAAAAAUUGAAUAAAUAGUCUUGGUACAUAACUUACUGCUGGGUGACUGUCACCUUAGCCUUCUGGACCUUUCAGCUCAUUGGCAGCCAGCGAUAGUUGUUUCCACCUCAGAUGCUCAGCAUGGAAGUCAGCCUUGUGCCAAUGUACUCCUGCACUUCUGGUGAGACUGCCUGAUUUCAGAGGCAGUCCAAGACAGCUCUAGUUCUGACUCGUAGUCACUAAGCAUGUUCACAAAUGAAAUGUCAAAACACACGACAAAUUGGCUUUAGCCUGCCUGAAACUAAUGUAGGAAGUCGGAAAACCAGACAUUUUUUGAGCAGUGUGGGCCAAUAAAAGACUCCAGAAGAGUGAGUGACCACUUGACAAGUCUGAUUUAUCAAGGAAUUUGCUCAAGGGGAGCGUCUGGUCUAUCAAGGAAAUGAGUUAAACCUAUGCUCACACCACACAAUCAGGACUGAAGCCCAGCUGAGUUGGCCCAGGCUGACUCAGCUGCUUCAGUGGAGAGUAAGCAAUUUAAGGAAGGAAGGAAGACCGUCCACUCUGUCUCCGUCUGUGCAUCUGAAGAUCCAGAGCAGACUCUGCAGUUAUUUGCUGAUGUGCAAAUUGUCCAAUUGGCCAUCCAAAAGAUGAAUGGCAAUUGUCAUUCUGUCCACGAUGCCCAUCCAGAAUAUACUGGACUUCUCCACCAAGCUGGUAUGGAUGACGGAGCUUAGCUCCUGCAGCACUCUUACCAUCCAUGGCUCUUUGUAGCUUGGACCAUUCAGAUGGAGUGAGUUAAUGGAGUUUCUUUCCACCUGUCCUCACACUGACUCUUGCAACCUGGGCCUCCCAAAAAGAAUCACACAGAAUCACAGAAUUGCAGGGGUUGGAAGGGUCUUCAAGAGAUCAUCGAGUCCAAGCGCCCUGCUAAGGCAGUUCCCUACAAUAGGUCACACAGUACAUUUCACCAUUACCGGGUGCACUUCAAGGAAAGAGGGAGAGGCAGAAGAAGCAGCAAGCCAAGGCAUCAGCUCCAGACUGCAAGGUAUGGCAAAGCUGCCUUAAGUGAAGGGAGGCUUCUUGCCUGUACCACUGAGAUCUAUAAUGCCCAGACAUUAGGUCACCAUGGCCUCUCUUAAGGAAAAGCAUGUGUUCAGAGGAAGCAGAUUAUCUUGUCUGUCAGUCCUGAUUUAGCCCUUAUUCAGUAUUUUUCUGUCUGAAUUUGGCUAGUCUAGCCAAACACCGCUUUGGAUGAUUGGCAUUUUUAUAAGAGUAGCAAAUAGCAGAUGACAAAUGAUUUACAGCUCCUGCAGAUUCAUGAAGCUUUGGAUUUAUAAACAUUUUCAUGACUAUGACACAGCUAUGUGAAUGUUUCCAAACACAGAGAAACAGAAGCUCCCAAGGUGAGAAUAUCUGAGUAUAAGAUGGUUAUAACAAAAACUGGAGUUUCAUACGGAACCAGCUCCAGCACUUGAUAUAUCCUUUACACUUUUAUCUAGCCCUUUCUCUUCCACUGCCCACUUCUUGUGGUUUAUCUUCUUGCUUGCCCAUAUGCCUUCACCUUGAUGAGUUUUAAUUUCAAAUGUGCAGAGAUUUCUCACGAUAUGCUCAUUUCUAAGACAUUCAGAGAUUUUAUAGAUACUGUUUUUGAAAAGCCUUGAAUAUGAAAACAACCCAGGCGUUUACAGGCUGUGACUUCCAAUAAAAUGCAGGUGCUUCACUUUUCACAGAAUAGCCUGUUGUACCUAUUCUAUCCUCUCUUCAGUGAUAAAUACAUGCUUAUACAGCUAAAAAUUAGAUAAAUCUAUAUAGACACCCAGCUGCACCAGCAUGACAUUUUUACCCUAUAUCUGCAGCCCAGAAAACACCUUCCUGCAGCUACCACUUGAGCACUGGCAGUCUUUGCAAAACUACCGCCCUCCACCAAGCUCCCUCAUCACAAAGUUCAGCAUUCCUUCUGCCAGCUCCUUUGCAUGCCCACUAUAAAAUACCCUUGGCCAGGCAGGCUGCAGGUUCAGGAAAACAGGUAAGCUUGAUCUGGUCACACAAGCAGUGCCAGCACAGGUUGACUCUCUUGAACGUAAAGCCUUAAAUGUGGUGCCACAGCAGUAGACACGGCCUAUUACAACCUUCCUUUUGUAAGUUCCUAGUUCACUUAACAGACUGCAUGCCUCUCUUUUCGCGUUACUUUGCCCUUCUACUAAUCAAAUUUACUGCAGUCUCCUCGAAACCAGGUGGUUAGCUUCAUCACUGAAAUACGCAAGUGAACUUUUAAUCUCGUUUAGUGGUCAAAAUGGGAGGGCAAGAGGUGUCAGCAUGGAAAUUGGUAAGUCCUGGUACAAGGCUACCUAUCGCUCAGCUGUAGGAAGUGUUCAUGUAUAUUUUGAGGUGUCCCUUUUCUACUGCAGGAUUGUGCCCUCUGUGAGCUCCUGAUGUUCUGAACUAGCAGAGAUUGUGCUCCCAGUACAGCAACUCAAAGCAAACACCUAACCUUCAGACGGCUGCAGGUCUGUGUGAAUUCCCUCGGAACUACUGACAUGGGAAUCUCCUCACACAGGUGUGUGCCAGGGCUCAAAGAGGGCUGCUGCAGGAAAGGUGAAGCACUCAUCCUCCUGCCCAUGGAAUUGCCAGGGAACUGGGAUCACCAUGGAACGAGAUUCCCCACAGCAGUCACCCCACAGCUGCCCUCUUCAGCUGACAGAGUCUCCUGGUUGCCAAGGAAAGCUGCACCAGGACCAUUGCUGGCUGCAUGUCUGCUCAGAGCUCCCCAAUGUCUCCUCAAUUAAAACCUGAGAUCAAUACCCACUAAAACAUGCUUUUCAAACGUCUUUUUCCAGAGAGAGGAAUGCCUGUCUUUCAAAGCUGUUCUUUUCCAUAUAUACAAACUAGGGGCAAGCAAUGAGUUGCUAAAGUGCAUGUGUGUAUGUGCACAUACACAUACACAUGUAUAUGCAUCAGAAGGAGAAUUUGUUUUGAAGCCACAGUAAGGCACGUUAGCCAACACGUAUAUUAAAGGCAAGGAGCUAUAUUAACCAGGAGUGUCAGCACUGAGAGACCUGCAGGGAAGCAUCGCUCUCUCAUUUGAGUAAGAAGGAGCCUGCCAACUGCUGAAAGCAGCUUUCUGGCUCUUUCUCUACUAACACGGAAUUUUCUGUCUUUAAAGACAAGCCAUUCCCCACAAGGAUUUGCUAAAAAGGUGAAAACGUGCGGGAAGCAUUCCUCCUGCAACAAUGCUGCUGGACCCUGAUCACCUCAGCUGACCUUAGGUGUCUCUGCACUCCAGCCCUGUAUCUCAUCUCAGCUCAUUUUGCAACAGCUACUUAACCUAAUUACAGGGGAGAUGACAGCUCCAGACUUAAACGAGGGAGGGCAAAAAACACGUGCAUCCACCGUGUCCCCAUGCAUGAUUUCCCUAGCAGAAAACGACCCCCCUCAUUUUACAGAAAAUGAGCCCUACUUGCAGGAGCAUGGGACAGGUGAGAGAAGGAACACAAGCCCAAAACAUAGCUCUGCCUUCCUGCAGGCUCCACUGCAUCGCCCAGGGCACCAGCAAGCAGCCUCCACACUGGGCAUCGCAUGGGUGGCAUGCAUGGGGCUGCCUCCACAAGCAGCCUGUCAUCUUCCUACCGGUUGGGGUCGGAAGGCUGUGAAAACAAGUCAAGCAUGGGUACAGAUUUCCUGCAUGGGGACAGGGGUGACAACAGACUGUUGGGCUGGGAAAAAGAUGGCAGCUGUGGAAAACGGUGGAUGAUUAAGUAGAGGGAGUGGUUUUUCUUGAAUUCUUGUAGCGGAAAAGCAAGAGGAUGUCUGUGAAAUAAGCUUAACCAAGUUUGCUGUCCAGAUUUUUCUCAAGUUGCCUACAGAACAUAAUGAGAAGAGGAGAGAGGAUGAAAUCAAGUAUUUCAGUACUGCUUUAGAAACCUCUUGCUGUAUAAGAAAAGAAAAAAAUAUAUACAUAAAAAAGGCAAAUCCCUCUUUAGGUUGCAUAUGUGCCAGUAACUUUUAGGAAUCAAACAGAAACUUCUUCAAAAGGCAACUUUAACAAAAGGAAAAACUCUCCACAAUAGAUUUUGACAUCAUUUUUUAUGAAAUGCUUAUUUUAGUUAUUGUUGGAAAAGGGGCAGCCCCUAAUAGAGGGGCAGUAAGAGUCAGUAUGAUAAUAUAACUGUUUCGGACAUUUCUGAAAGCAGAACUUCAAUGAAUGGUACAAAACACAUUCUCUGAAGUACGAGCCAGGCUGCUGUUUUCUGGUGAGACAUGUAUGUGUAAUUUGCAUUCCUGCCUUUUGCAGGAGGAGGAUGAUGAACUACUUCAGUCACUGCUGCAGGCAGUUUUGAAGUUACAGGAAGAGAGAUGCUUUUUUUUCUGCUGAAAGAAGAAGGGGAUCCUCCCGUGGACUUCUCCCCAAUUUUUUCUUGAAGUACAGCUGCUAAUAGUUUUUCAUAGCAGCACGCUGAGGUGUGCAGUUGCAGAAAUCUUGUCAUUUUGAUGGGUAGUGAGCCUGCGGGCACUCAGCGGGAAUACCAAUGGUGUCUGCCACCCUCCCGCCUGCCUCCUUGGGUUGCUCUGCACUUCAGUGGGUGCGGCAGGCCCUGGGGGCCAGCGUCUCUCCAGACCUGCUUCCAUCUCACUUGGAGUCCAACCAAGCCUUCCAGGAGUGUGUUUGUGAAGCAGAUGAUUUCCAGCAGGGCUGUUUUCAGAAGGAACAACUCCUCUUCCCGGCACAAGGCUGGGUGCUGUCCCUCAUGCUCCUCCUCUUCCCCCAGGGGAGCUGCCAGGGGACCCUCAUCCCUUCCCAAGCCUUGGGUGACACUGCAGCAUGCUGUACCCACAGAAGGCUUUGGCCUCAUGUCAACUGCAAGCUGGGAGAGGUUUUCAUUUCACCAAAGUGACUCUAAGCUGAGCUGUGAGCUCAGGCACUGCACUGCACAAACAAGUAGGACAGGAGCACGCCCGAUCACCGUACAACAGACAGGAGAAAGGACGGCACGAGUGUACAAGUUAAUAACAGGAGUCUUGACCACACCAGAGAGCGCCCAACAGGGAGAUUUCACUGUACUGCUGAACAAUUGCAGAGCAGUGUCUACAGGAAGCUUUAUAUCAAUAGCCCUGGGAGACCAUCUCUUCCACAACAUCUGCUUUUCAGAUCCGGCUCAAUCCAGGCCUCCAGACGAAGCACGUAAAUCACCAAAUAUGCAGAUCAGGAUUUUUGAAGAAAGUGGCGAGCAAUGAGUUUGGGCAGGGUGAACGUCAUUCUGCCAGGCCUGAUCCCUAUCCCAGCUCUUCCACGCAGCCCAGGUGCCCAAACCUGGCAGGGUGGCUAUGGGAGCAUCUUGUCACAUAACCCGCUCCAUCCAGCACCGUGCAUUUUGCUCAGCAGGCCCGCAACAUGCUGGCUGCUGUUUUGAUGCGUCCACUGUGUGCAGGACCUGAGAAAGUCCCAAUCACGCUUAUGACUUGGAGCUUCAGUUAAUUCACGGAAGGAAUUUUCUGGCUGGGCGCGUGUUGAGGCCUAAUUCUGACCGAACAGCAAACGCGGUGUUUUUCCCCCUUACCUACGCCCGUCUUCUGACCUCUGGUGGCAGCAGUGGGCAACUACAGAGCUUUUCUGGCUACUUGUUGUUAAAGGAACAGAAAAAAAAUCCACCAGCAUCGACGUGAGUGUAGCCAAAAUUAUAUCAUCUCAAUUUGUUCAAAAAGUAAAAUAUACAGGCAAGUAUUUGAAAGAAUACACUGAGUUUUUUUCUAGUUUCGUUGAGGAACUAGUGGCUGAUCUUACCUAGAAAUGCCCUACGUGCUUCUGUUACAUACACUUUCCAAAAAAAUGACCGCUGUCAAAAAACUCUGCAGCUUUCCGGGAACAGCCCAACUAACGCUCUUUAACUAAGCAAGUGCUGGUCGGGCAAGCAAGGUUCUGCAGUGGGGUUUAUUAGUGUUCUUCCAUGGGAGAAAGCAGUGCCAGAAGCAAGUUCUGCCUGGCCAUCAUGUUUCAUGAUGGGUUGUGGUUCAAUAUUACAUUGGGAGUAAAACUAUUAAUAGGACGAUGAUUAAGUAAAUUAAAAAAAGAAGAAGAAGAAGAAGAUGAAGAAGAAAGAAAAAGAAAAGGAAGAAGAGUACAAAGAUCAAAGGAUAAGGAGAACAUGCUUGAAAUUUCUUGAGAAACUCAGAUGCUUCAGGAGCACAGUGCUGGUGAGGGAGAACAUCUUUGGGAGAAGUGUAGGACAACCUACAGCCCCUCAUAUGGCUUUUGUCCCCCCAAACUGAAAGUAACUAAAAAAAUAAUUAACAUUAUUAAAUAUUUGAGCAAAUUCUAACCUGGGUCACAAUAGUGAACGCUUUGGCUGUUUUCUCCCCCAGGAAAGCUAGCUGCUGCCAAUCUUUCCCAGGGCUUCUGCACUGCUUCAGGAUGGCUUCGGGAGCAGUUGCCUGCCUAGGGGUGCUGGACCUCAGGGCUCCCCCUCGCUCAGGUAUUUGUCCUUCCUAAAGGAAAGAGUUCCCUCCAUCAUGUAGACAAAUGUACGUCGGUUGCUCCAAAAGUAAUGCCUCCUAUUUAUUUCCAUGAAACCUACAACAAAGAGCACGAUAACACUAUUUGAUAGAGAAAACGUUCAGCUACGAAACACUAUUU